GUCGACGAACUCUGGUAUUGAUUGGUGCUUGCACUCAUGAUUUACAUUUGAGUGAGUGGCGAACUGGUGAGUAACACGUGGGAAACCUGCCCAGAAGCGGGGGAUAACACCUGGAAACAGAUGCUAAUACCGCAUAACAACUUGGACCGCAUGGUCCGAGUUUGAAAGAUGGCUUCGGCUAUCACUUUUGGAUGGUCCCGCGGCGUAUUAGCUAGAUGGUGAGGUAACGGCUCACCAUGGCAAUGAUACGUAGCCGACCUGAGAGGGUAAUCGGCCACAUUGGGACUGAGACACGGCCCAAACUCCUACGGGAGGCAGCAGUAGGGAAUCUUCCACAAUGGACGAAAGUCUGAUGGAGCAACGCCGCGUGAGUGAAGAAGGGUUUCGGCUCGUAAAACUCUGUUGUUAAAGAAGAACAUAUCUGAGAGUAACUGUUCAGGUAUUGACGGUAUUUAACCAGAAAGCCACGGCUAACUACGUGCCAGCAGCCGCGGUAAUACGUAGGUGGCAAGCGUUGUCCGGAUUUAUUGGGCGUAAAGCGAGCGCAGGCGGUUUUUUAAGUCUGAUGUGAAAGCCUUCGGCUCAACCGAAGACGUGCAUCGGAAACUGGGAAACUUGAGUGCAGAAGAGGACAGUGGAACUCCAUGUGUAGCGGUGAAAUGCGUAGAUA
rnacentral:rRNA from 2 species